UUUGGCAGGAACUCAAUGCUAGGAUGUUUACUAACACUGCUAUCCCAAACCAGUCCAUUACUCAAGAUAUCAUUCACCUGUUAAAAUUUGGACUCCAUACUAUUGCUAGGUUUCAGAGAGUUAAAACUACACCAUGUUAUCACCAUUUAGAUUUAGAUCUGUAAUUCUCUUUUGCCAUAUGCCAUCUAUGUUUUACAUGGUUGGGAUAUUUAAUUUCGAAUAUGGCCAUCAUGUGUUAUGUUUGCUAGGUUUCCAUUCUGGUUCACCUAUGUAUUCAAUAUGGCUAUGUACCUAU
rnacentral:lncRNA from 1 species